rnacentral:lncRNA from 1 species
UCCAUAAAGUGUGGAACUCUGGGGUCUCACUAAGAACAAGAUUUAAAGUCAGACGAGUUCCAAAGAUACUUCCUGAAGAGACUCUUGGAUUUUGCCUGUGACAGCCCUCCCCAGGACGAGGAAGGCAGCCUCCCCUUGGGACAGCACUCUACGGACUUCUCAGUGUUGGAAAGAGCUGGGACUCCUACAGGGAAUUCCUACUCUUCAUAUUUGUUCUCUGCUAAACCAGAGGAGACACAUCUUGCUCUAGAGUUCCCCAGAACCUGCUCUUCUGGGUCAGCCUCCUGCUGUCUUAUUCUUCCAUCUUUUCUCCACCUAUGCCCAAAGCACAACCAAGGUCACUUUGUUUCUUGAGCUGAGUUCACGCUGGAGCAUUCUUGACCCAGAGAGACACCAUUUUAUAAUGGAAGGCACUUCUUGAGAACCAGAGAGACCUCAUUUCUCAUGAUCUCACUGUGCAGGACUCAGUUUUUAAUACUACAAUGUGAAUUACGAAUCUCCAGGAGGAGAAUAUAAUAUGCGCUGUUUCCGAAGCUCAUCUGACUACAAACUGUGUUUUAAAGAAUGUCUGGCAAUGCAACAGAGCUUCUAUUUCCUGGCAGAUGGACCAUGAGCCUGGGCCAGAGAAUCUGGUGCUGAGCUGCUGCAGUCAGCUGAGCUGCUUACGUAACCUGAAGGCUCUCCUGGGAGGACCAUGCUGUGAAAGGCAGCUCUGGUUUGCUUCCCCUCAGAUAAUGUUUAUAUGGCCUUUUGGUCAGAGAAGAAGCAAAGAUAAUCCCCCUGACCCUCAGGUUGAGGAGACACAGAUCGGCCUUUGCUGAGGGUAGCACAGCAAAUGAGGAUGCAUCUCCCAGCAGGGUCAAAUGCAAACAAAAAUGCUGUGAGACGCAGGACAUCAGGGGCAUCCCAGGGCCUGAAUAUUCUUACUCUGACCAGAGCCGGCUCCGGGCAGCUGUCAGCCAUGCCUUAAAAAUCAGAAGUCUGCACACUUUUUCCGUAAAGGGCCAGGUAUUAAAUCUUUCAGGUUCAUGGGCCACAUGUGGUCUCAGAUGCAACUACCCAGCACUGCCAUUGUGGCAUGGAAGCAGCCAUAGAGACUUUGUAAAUGAAUGGGCACGGUGGCAUUCCAAUAAAACUUCAUUUACAAAAACAA